CUUCUCUGCAGAUAAUAUUCAAAUUUACUUUAUUUUGGCAUCGUUUCAAAGAAGCUGGAAGUACAAUGCAAACAGCUGGACUGUGAGCUGCUUAACAUCUCUGAGCUAUCUCUGAGGUUUGGAGAGGAAAAGACCAAGAAAGAAGUCUGUACCGUACCCCUUCACGCAGAAUGCCUUUCAACAUGUGCUGAAAAAAUGCAGAGGAGCAGAUGCAAUUCCCUGCUUCCAUUUGGCUUUCACAUGGCAUUGUGCUACUGGAACGAAACCUAGGACUGCUAAUGUUUUCUGGCAAUGAUCUGUGUCUACGCCAUUGACUUGAGAAACCACUAGAAACCAUUUUGUCAACGUUAAAUAUCAUUUAUUUUUCAGUUACUUGUUAUACAGAGCAGUAAGGAAAGUAAGUUAAGCUAACAAUACUGUAUAUAGUGACAUCACUCAUUUAUAAGACUAAAGCUAUGUUUACAUGGAUUUAUGA